UAAGUGGGACCUGGCCGAGGUGGGGUGCGGGGAGGGACCUCUGAACUGAGCUCCUCAUCUGCCCCAGCCCCGAGUGCGAGAUCGAGCGUCCUGAGCGCCUGACCGCAGCCCUGGAUCGCCUGCGGCAGCGCGGCCUGGAACAGAGGUGUCUGCGGUUGUCAGCCCGCGAGGCCUCGGAAGAGGAGCUGGGCCUGGUGCACAGCCCAGAGUAUGUAUCCCUGGUCAGGGAGACCCAGGUCCUAGGCAAGGAGGAGCUGCAGGCGCUGUCCGGACAGUUCGACGCCAUCUACUUCCACCCGGCCUCCCGGGCACCAUGGCCAGAGGGCGGCUGCCAACGGGUUCUGUGUGUUCAACAACGUGGCCAUAGCAGCUGCACAUGCCAAGCAGAAACACGGG
rnacentral:lncRNA from 1 species